GCAGGCUAUCAGGGAUGCAAUAACUGCAAACUAUUUCAGAUGAAGACGGACGGACAUUACAAGGCACCAUGGGUGACUUGAUCUAUGUAUGGCGUAAUAGUAUUCAGACUGAUGUACGGACAUAGACAAAACAAGUCUUAAAAAUGUGUGUUCAUUUACAUCUGAUAAAGACAAAACAAGUCUAUAAAAUGUGUGUUCAUUUACAUCUGAUAAAGACAAAACAAGUCUAUAAAAUGUGUGUUCAUUUACAUCUGAUAAAGACAAAACAAGUCUUUAAAAUGUGUGUUCAUAAAUAUAUAGUUUAAUAAUUUUGA